GGAUGUAAGGGCAAUCUGGCUGUGAUAUAUGUCACCCCAUUGAUUUAUUGAUUGACAGGCUUGAUUCAGCUGAUCUGUCUGACUAGGCGGAUGUUCCCUUCCUCCCUCACCAUCCUAUGUGAGUCCCUCCCUCCUGAAGUUGAGCACUUAGUUGAAAAGGACAACCUUUCCCUGAAUAGAGACAGACUGAUCUUGGUAUACGAAUAGCUGUGCUCCCCUGCUAGAACCUCCAAGCUCUUAAGGUCCCCUACAUAUAAAAUGGAAACUCAUAGGAUUUAUUCUGAGGACUAAAUAAGAUCAUUUAGAGAUCAAAGCCUGGUCUGACCCUUUUAUCUCCUUUAUAUGUGUUU
rnacentral:snRNA from 1 species